UACGUAGGGUGCAAGCGUUGUCCGGAAUUAUUGGGCGUAAAGAGCUCGUAGGCGGUUUGUCGCGUCUGCUGUGAAAACCCGAGGCUCAACCUCGGGCCUGCAGUGGGUACGGGCAGACUAGAGGUGCGGGUAGGGGAGAUUGGAAUUCCUGGUGUAGCGGUGGAAUGCGCAGAUAUCAGGAGGAACACCCAAUGGCGAAGGCAGAUCUCUGGG
rnacentral:rRNA from 1 species